GACAGAGGUCCCGAGCGUUAGGCGGAAUCACUGGGCUUAAAGCGUGUGUAGGCGGCGGCCUAAGUACCUUGUGAAAUCCCACGGCUCACCCGUGGAACUGCUCUGUAUACUGGGUCGCUUGAGCCACUUAGGGGCUACCGGAACAAAUGGUGGAGCGGUGAAAUGCGUAGAUAUCAUUUGGAACGCCAAUGGUGAAAACAGGUAGCUGGGAGUGUGCUGACGCUGAGACACGAAAGCCAGGGGAGCAAACGGG
rnacentral:rRNA from 1 species